AAGUCGUAACAAGGUUUCCGUAGGUGAACCUGCGGAAGGAUCAUUAAUAAUUUUUUCAUCUAAUGAUGAUUAAAAUUAACCUUGUGUGCAAACAUUGCUUUGAAAGGAAGAAGAUGAAUAGAGAAAAAGGUGAAGCUCUUGCAAAGAGAGUGAAUCCAAUUUCUUUACCAUCUUCAACCUAUAAUAAAAACACCUAGCAUCAAAAUUAUAUAAAACAAAAAAUAUUUAUAAUAAAAUACAACUUUCAACAACGGAUCUCUUGGCUCUC
rnacentral:misc_RNA from 1 species